rnacentral:tRNA from 1 species
GCCCCUGUGGCGGAAUAGGUAGACGCGACAGACUCAAAAUCUGUUGUCCUUACGGGCGUGGGGGUUCGAGUCCCUCCAGGGGCACCA